ACCACACAAAUAUUCAGUUCCUUUAUCACAUAGCUGGGACCUCAAGUUGUGCCACACUUCUUUCUUAUUUGAAAGCAGCCCCUAGGACGCUCCUAGCUAGUUGUAUCUUGCAUGUUGCCCCAAACAUAUGUGCCCAGAUCUUUCACUUCAGAGUAGUCGGUAUGUUGUCCAGUAACAUUUUUCUAAAGUGUUUUCUGUGAUAGGGGCUUGCAUAGUUGUACGGGGCGAUUAGUUCUUUCCUGUAGAAACAAGCCAUCACCCACAUCAUCCUGCUCCUGAAAGGGGGGUUAGUAGGGAUAGAGCAACUGUGCAAACACAAUAGGGCAACUUUGAACUAGAAUAGAGCAACUCCAGGCCACAAAUCAGAAAGCACCAUAAAUAAUGACAGUGUGAUUUGGAAGAACUACCACACAACAAAAGCAAUAAAAACGCAAAAAAAUAAGGUACCAUAGUUGCCCUCACAGUUUGGAUCCUUUUUUGUGCAUAAUAAAAUGAUAACAUAGUUGCCCCUAAUCAACCAUACAGUUGCCUAAAAGCACUAUCCAGUUGCCCAAUUGUCAUGAGCAGAAACAUUAACAAGACCAUAGUUUGGUCAAUAUCUAAAGGUUUUUGAUACCUGCAAUUAAGUUUAUGUCAUAGCCAUAGUUCAAAAAAGCGCUAGGCGUUAAUUGUGCGUUUUGCCACCGCCUUGCGCUUUACUGACCAAAGCGCAUGCUUAUGCGCAGUUAUACACAGAUUUAGCGUAGUUAUGCGCAAUACGUUUUGCCAACGCCUAGAGCCUAGGCGCGCCUUUUUUAACCAUGGUCAUAGCUGCAGUUCCUAAUUUAUUGAUUCCCACUGGACAUCAUCAGUCUUUUACUCUGUUCUACGUUUGUGACAAAUCCUUUUGAUGUCCAGACCGUGUUGUGUUGUUCCAAAUGAUAAUGUCUGAAACCCACAUGUUUCCUGAAAACCAAGAGUGGUAUUCAUAAGAAAUAUGCAGGCUUAGAAGUUCAGAACUGUCCAUUUGCUGCUGCAGGUUAUUGGUAGAAAUCAGCAUCUCAAGUUUGAAAUUGUGCAAGUGUAAUGCGACACAAAAGCUAUUAACUAGAGAGUUGAUAAAUUAAUGAGGGAGAGAGAGAUUUGUACAUACAAUCUUCUUGAUGCUGGGCGGAAGGAUAAAUUAGUCCUCACCAUAAAAAUCGCUCCUAUUUUUCAGACAGUUUUUGCUUUUGACAUAUCUCACACAAGAGGAAGUGCCUGUAUUUUUCUUUCCAGAUACCCCUUUCGACGAGAUACUUUUUUUUGUUUCAUUCAGAUAUCAUGCAUGCUUUUUGACACAUUGUUAUUCAAAAACCAAGCUGAUCCAUCGACCAGUGCCAACAGACGUAAGCAUGUUCGCAUGAAGCGAAAUUCAAACCAUGGCACACGCGUAGAAGAGCGUACAAGUUAAAGAAAGAAGGACCAGAGCUCACCCCGCCGGUGGGGUCAUGCGACGAGCCGGGGCGAAGAACACCUUCAUCGACAUGAUGGCAUCCCCCAAUCAAUCUAGUACAUCGGGUGCUCUGAGCAAACUCCUUCUACAUUUCUGCUUCGUCUCCAAGGGUGCAGGUUGUGGGAUAGCGGCCCGUGUGCAACUACCAUAAGAGCACACUGACAGUGAGCAUCUCCAAGAGCAAGGGUGGAGAGGACGCUGCAGCUCAAGGGGGGCCUCACUAGGUGAAGGUGAGCAUGGAUGGCGCCCAUUUUUGUCCCAUCAAAUUCUUUUAAAUUCGUUGGAGAGCAAGGGGGAUUAGUACGCAGGAGGCAUUCCCCCCUAUCAAAUUCGUUGGGCAAUUCUGUAUCCAACAUUCUAGGCUAUUAUGGAUUAUAGGGAGUAUCGAGAGGCAAUCAGGGACCUUUUUGUUUAAACCAGUGGGAUAAUUUUUUGCAGUCAAUAGAUAGGCAAUUAUGUGGAUUAUGAAGACAAAACAGUCGCCUGGAUUUGCUAGAAGAGUUGCAUCCUAUCAUAAUGCAGUUGCUUAGUGUGGUUAGGACAAUUGCUUGGUUUUGCCAGGAUAGUUUUGCAUUAUGUUUUUUGGUAACACAGUUGCUUGGAUUUGCUAGGACAGUUGCUUGGUUUUGUUAGAACAGUUUUUGCAUUGUGAUUUUGGUAAUACAGGUUCUUGGAUUUUUUUGUCAA